GGCCGGGGGGGCGCUACCAUGCAGUCGAGCGGUAACAGAUGGAGUAAGCUUGCUUUCUCGCUGUACGAGCGGCGGACGGGUGAGUAAUACUUAGGAAUCUACCUAGUAGUGGGGGAUAGCACGGGGAAACUCGUAUUAAUACCGCAUACGACCUACGGGAGAAAGGGGGCAGUUUACUGCUCUCGCUAUUAGAUGAGCCUAAGUCGGAUUAGCUAGAUGGUGGGGUAAAGGCCUACCAUGGCGACGAUCUGUAGCUGGUCUGAGAGGAUGAUCAGCCACACCGGGACUGAGACACGGCCCGGACUCCUACGGGAGGCAGCAGUGGGGAAUAUUGGACAAUGGGGGAAACCCUGAUCCAGCCAUGCCGCGUGUGUGAAGAAGGCCUUUUGGUUGUAAAGCACUUUAAGCAGUGAAGAAGACUCCAUGGUUAAUACCCAUGGACGAUGACAUUAGCUGCAGAAUAAGCACCGGCUAACUCUGUGCCAGCAGCCGCGGUAAUACAGAGGGUGCAAGCGUUAAUCGGAAUUACUGGGCGUAAAGGGAGCGUAGGUGGCUCUAUAAGUCAGAUGUGAAAUCCCCGGGCUUAACCUGGGAACUGCAUCUGAAACUGUAGAGCUAGAGUAUGUGAGAGGAAGGUAGAAUUCCAGGUGUAGCGGUGAAAUGCGUAGAGAUCUGGAGGAAUACCGAUGGCGAAGGCAGCCUUCUGGCAUAAUACUGACACUGAGGCUCGAAAGCGUGGGUAGCAAACAGGAUUAGAUACCCUGGUAGUCCACGCCGUAAACGAUGUCUACUAGUCGUUGGGUCCCUUGAGGACUUAGUGACGCAGCUAACGCAAUAAGUAGACCGCCUGGGGAGUACGGCCGCAAGGUAAAACUCAAAUGAAUUGACGGGGGCCCGCACAAGCGGUGGAACAUGUGGUUUAAUUCGAUGCAACGCGAAGAACCUUACCUGG
rnacentral:rRNA from 1 species